rnacentral:ribozyme from 13 species
UUUUUUUUUUUUUUUUUUUUUUUUUUUUUUUUUUUUUUUUUACCUCCAAUCUG